UCCAUAGCUCAGUGGUAGAGUAUCCAAUUGGCAUGCAGAGGGUCCCAGGUUCAAUCCCUGGCACCUCUAGUUAAAAA
rnacentral:tRNA from 1 species